rnacentral:rRNA from 1 species
GAUGAACGCUAGCGGCAGGCUUAAUACAUGCAAGUCGUGGGGCAGCAGGUCUGUAGCAAUACAGAUGCUGGCGACCGGCAAACGGGUGCGUAACACGUACGCAACUUACCCAUUACAGGGGAAUAGCCCAGGGAAACUUGGAUUAAUACCCCAUAUUAUAUAGGAUUGGCAUCAGUCUUAUAUCAAAGCUUCGGCGGUAAUGGAUGGGCGUGCGGUUGAUUAGAUAGUUGGCGGGGUAACGGCCCACCAAGUCUACGAUCAAUAGCUGAUGUGGAAGCAUGGUCAGCCACACGGGACCUGGGACACGGGCCCGACUCCUACGGGAGGCAGCAGUAAGGAAUAUUGGGCAAUGGACGAAAGUCUGACCCAGCCAUGCCGCGUGAAGGAUGAAGGUCCUCUGGAUUGUAAACUUCUUUUAUCUGGGGCGAAAAUCACCCUUUCUAGGGUGCUUGACAGUACCAGAGGAAUAAGCACCGGCUAACUCCGUGCCAGCAGCCGCCGUAAUAC